rnacentral:lncRNA from 1 species
UUUUUUCUUUUAUAUUUUAUGUAACAUGAUGUAUUUUUAUUAAAAAAAUGCUUUCUGUGAUCAUUGGCUCCUCUGUGCGUUUGGCUAUUCUUUAAUACAUUGAAGGGCAUGAAGUUUGAUUUGGGUGAGUCAGGAAGUUUACAUCAUGUAUCUGACUCACAAGGUCUUCAUUAAGUACCCAGGACACAAGGAUCUUUAAGUACUACGUCUUUUCCACAUGAACCUUUUAGUUUAGUGCUAAAUCUGUAAAAAUAAAUACGAUAAAGAGCUGGGAAGUAGUGUGGCUUAUGCAUUGGAAGAGAAAACAAGAUCAGAGAUGGAGGAAGAGAAGCCUUGGUUUAACUGGUACUGUAGGAUGUAGUACCAAAGGAAGGUAACUUAUAAAUGACAUGGAAGACAUCAGCCAGUCAAUUCAUAAUCUACUGCCAUAAACAGUUCUAAUAAACAAUGGAGAGGAACCUCUGCUCUCGCUCGGCCUCUUUUUAUAUUAUAUGCAAACAACUGAGCUCAGCAUCACUCAUUUCUUUGACUGGUGGGUGAGGAAAACUGAAUUUUGAGGCAUCAGAGAGUACAAAGAUCCAUUGCAAGUAAAGGCAAAUCUGGGACUGGAACUCAGGUCCCCUGGAAUUUAGAAAUCUCUUUAGGGAAACUACAAGUAGUGGUUUUACCUUUUGUCAAUCAUUUUAUGGAACUUUCCCCAAUAUCAAGAAUAACCUCUUUCUUGCAAAACUGGCAUUUUGAAAGACUUUAAAAUUUAAAAGUAAGUUCUUCCAGGUGGAGGAGGAAAAUCAAGGUCAAUAUAUUUUAUCUUGAAUAAUACUUGCAAAGGUGGAAGAAGUCAGGGGUGUUUUAAAGGUGGAAAGUCGGGGGCCAGCCUGCCGCAGGGACUUCGUUCUAGUUAUUUGUUCUGAAAUUAUUGUGCUGUUCCUAUUUAAGGGUAUUCUUUUACUUCCAUUGUAGUGCUUGUAGUUAGUUUUGAUAAAAACAAACUCACUUCUUCUUAGUUUAGUUUUUUAAAAAAAGAUUUAUUUAUUUAUUUGUUUGCUUUAUGUAUGUGAGUACACUGUCACUGUCUUGAGACACAGCAGAAGAGGGCAUCAGAUCAGAUUACAGAUGGUUGUGAGCCACCAUGUGGUUGCUGGGAAUUGAACUCAGGACCUCUGGAAGAACAGUCAGUGCUUUGAACCACUGAGCCAUCUCUCCAGCCCCCUUAGUUUAUUUUUUUGAGAAAGCAUUUGUCUGUGCUACUCUGCCUGUCCUGGAACUCACUCUAUAGACGGGGCUGGCCUCAGAACUCGGAGAUCCACCUGCCUCCACCUCCCAAGAGCUGGGGCUUAAGACAUGCACCACAACUCCAGGCUGAAGAUCCCUCUUUAAGCACCACAAUCAACACUUCCUGACCAGUUGAGUUCAGUCAACAGGAGACCACUGUGAAAACCCAUGUGUAAAAAACAAGAGUGGAUUUGAGUGCCAGCCUUUGCUGUAGUCACUCAGAGUCCUUUAUGAUAUUUAUUAAAAUUCUUAUAUAUCCUCUAUAGGUCAAAUACAAAGGAGAGCUAAAACAGGCAACUUCCAUUUCAGAUCUGCCAGAGCUGAAAAGAGUGAAAGAAAACCAGAAGAAUAUCAGCAAUGUGUGAACAUCUUAGUAUUUAUUAUUUGCAUUUAAUCAUAUCAAAUGUGUCAAUAUGCAGAUAUGAGAUUAAAGCAAUGGUUCUCAACCUGUGCAUUGCAACAUGCCCCUCCCCAAAGUUGGAUAUCAUAUACUUACAUUACUACUCAUAUUAGUAGCAAUGAAAUCAUUUUAUGAUUUUGGAUCAUCACAACAUGAAGAACUGUAUUAAAGGGUCAUGUUACUAUGAGGGUUGAGAACCACUGAAUUAGAAUUUUUCUUUCUUAGUUGAUAGUCUCAUUUGACUGGCGGCCUCCUCAGGACAGUGUCAGGGUUGUAGGUACAUCAAGGCUCAAGUGCUGUACUGUGAUGACUGUCGUGAAACUUGUGGCAUGCCCUUCUCAUCUUAUUUUUGUGCUGGUGAUUGCUGUGGUUCCAUACUGAAGGCCGGGGUAGUUGCUGGCAUCUUGGUCUUGCAGUCCAGCUUUCUUGCCAUUUCUAGCUGCCCGAGUUCUUGUUUGUCAGGUCCCUUUGGGCCCUUUCUCUCAUUCAUGAUGAUUAUUACUAUGUUUCUGGGGGGAAGUGGUGAAGUAUAUGUGGUUGACAGAAUAUAUCACGUGAAAUGGGCCAGUUAAUGGGCACUUGGCCCAAGGCAGCAUUUUUUACGUAGACUCAUGAAUGACUCUAGAUCCCUCAGUUAUAUAACACACACAUUUCACUGAGAGCAGUCUUUUAGGAAGUCAUUAACAUACAGAAUGGGUUCUUUGGAAGAGGAAAUUCAGAAACCUAUUAUCUUCAAAGAAAUUAUUUAUUCCUCAAACUCAUAAAGUCAUUGGCCAGUUUAUGAGUCAAAGGCAGAUUAUCAUUAGAUACUCUCCCUAACAAUUAUCUAUAUUUUUUAGAAGAGUAGUAUCCAUUUCUUCCCAGUCAUACUUGAAUGGAUUCUAUUAUUCUAAAGAAAGGAUGUGGUUAGGGAGAAGGGGGAGUGUUAUAGAGAGAAGCAUGCUGCCUUUAUGAGGCUUGCAAUGGUCAGGUGUUGGGACAAAGUCUUCUCAAGACCAUGCUGUAGUUAAUUUCUGAGAAAACAAGACUAUAAAGUACCAUUGUAUUCAAAGAAGACUUGUAAUAUCCACAAAGCAUCCUUCUCAUGUUCACCUGUGAAUGAGCUUCCCAUAGGCUUACUGAUGAUGCACUGGAGCCUGUCCUGGUGAGUGAGAAGAGGGACACUCCUAUCCC